UCAUUAUCACUACUCAAGCCUGGCUUGCUGUUGGACCAUGGUCGUGAAAGACCGGGUCUCAAAGAUAAUGACGGCGUCAAUUAGACCCUAGAUGCAACGAGCUUUAACUAGCACGCAUGUUAGAAGCCUUUUGACGCCGGUCGUAUAACCAAUUUCUCAAGGUUGACCUCGGAUCAGGUAGGAAUACCCGCUGAACUUAA
rnacentral:misc_RNA from 1 species